GUACACACCGCCCGUCGCUGUUACCGAUUGAAUGGCUUAGUGAGGUGUAAGGAGGAGUACAUUUGUAUUCCAAAUUACCCCAAACUGCGUCAUUUAGAGGAAGCAAAAGUCGUAACAAGGUAUCUGUAGGUGAACCUGCAGAAGGAUCA
rnacentral:rRNA from 1 species